UACAGAGGGUGCAAGCGUUGUUCGGAAUUACUGGGCGUAAAGGGCUCGUAGGCGGCCAACUAAGUCAGACGUGAAAUCCCUCGGCUUAACCGGGGAACUGCGUCUGAUACUGGAUGGCUUGAAUCCGGGAGAGGGAUGCGGAAUUCCAGGUGUAGCGGUGAAAUGCGUAGAUAUCUGGAGGAACACCGGUGGCGAAGGCGGCAUCCUGGACCGGCAUUGACGCUGAUGAGCGAAAGCUAGGGGAGCAAACGGG
rnacentral:rRNA from 1 species